UACGGGGGGGGCAAGCGUUGUUCGGAAUUACUGGGCGUAAAGGGCUCGUAGGCGGCCAACUAAGUCGGAUGUGAAAUCCCCGGGCUCAACCCGGGAACUGCGUCCGAUACUGGCAGGCUUGAAUCCGGGAGAGGGAUGCGGAAUUCCAGGUGUAGCGGUGAAAUGCGUAGAUAUCUGGAGAAACACCGGUGGCGAAGGCGGCCACCUGGACGGUCACUGACGCUGAGACGCGAAAGCGUGGGUAGCAAACAGG
rnacentral:rRNA from 1 species